AAUCCUGUCAGAACAAGCAUGUUGAUAUUUUAGCGCUUUUUUUAGAGCAUUACCCAACGGAGUCCUCCGACGAGUUUCCCCAUUCACAUGCCGACAUCACGCGCGGGAAUUUAACAACAAAAAUGAAAGCAGUCCGAGGUAAAUAUCGCCAUGCUGUUGAUACAGGACGCAGGAGUGGACACGGUCGAGUGGUUCUUCUGUACUUCGAACUGUGCGAACAAAUCUGGGGUGGCUCUCCAGCUAGUACUACCAUAUCCUCCGGUAUUGAAACAGCUGACCUGGAUCAUUCUCGGACCCUACCCUCACCAUCCACAUCUUCUUCCUCCACUACCAUGGAUGUAGCAGACACAGGGUCUGAUAAUGAAAGCAGUGUGGGUCCUACUUCAAAGGAGAGGAGAGACCUGCUUGAUGCAAAACUAAAAGGACACAGACACGACCGUCUGAGGAGAAAGCUGCCUGCUGAGACCCAGUGGCUGAAUGCUCUUGAGGAAGACCAGCGUGUGAAAAAGAGACUGGUGGAAAUCAUUGAGACAUCAGAACAAAAAGCAUCCGAAAACUAUUCAAAAAUGUCCAAUACACUGGAAAGACUUACCACAUCGAUUGUUGAUGGGUUUUCUCUUCUGAAACAGGUCAUUCAUGCACCUGCACAACCACCACACUACAUGCCAUAUGAGC